GGAGGUGAUGAACUGUCUUGGCC
rnacentral:piRNA from 1 species